GCAUAUCAAUAAGCGGAGGAAAAGAAACCAACAGGGAUUGCCCUAGUAACGGCGAGUGAAGCGGCAACAGCUCAAAUUUGAAAUCUGGCUUUCGGGCCCGAGUUGUAAUUUGUAGAGGAUACUUUUGAUGCGGUGCCUUCCGAGUUCCCUGGAACGGGACGCCAUAGAGGGUGAGAGCCCCGUCUGGUUGGAUGCCAAAUCUCUGUAAAGUUCCUUCGACGAGUCGAGUAGUUUGGGAAUGCUGCUCUAAAUGGGAGGUAUAUGUCUUCUAAAGCUAAAUAUUGGCCAGAGACCGAUAGCGCACAAGUAGAGUGAUCGAAAGAUGAAAAGCACUUUGAAAAGAGAGUUAAAAAGUACGUGAAAUUGUUGAAAGGGAAGCGUUUAUGACCAGACUUGGACUUGGUUAAUCAUCUGGGGUUCUCCCCAGUGCACUUUUCCAGUUCAGGCCAGCAUCAGUUUUCGCCGGGGGAUAAAGGCUUCGGGAAUGUAGCUCUCUUCGGGGAGUGUUAUAGCCCGUUGUGUAAUACCCUGGCGGAGACUGAGGUUCGCGCUUCUGCAAGGAUGCUGGCGUAAUGGUCAUCAACGACCCGUCUUGAAACACGGACCAAGGAGUCGUCUUCGUAUGCGAGUGUUCGGGUGUCAAACCCCUACGCGUAAUGAAAGUGAACGCAGGUGAGAGCUUCGGCGCAUCAUCGACCGAUCCUGAUGUUCUCGGAUGGAUUUGAGUAAGAGCAUACGGGGCCGGACCCGAAAGAAGGUGAACUAUGCCUGUAUAGGGUGAAGCCAGAGGAAACUCUGGUGGAGGCUCGCAGCGGUUCUGACGUGCAAAUCGAUCGUCAAAUAUGGGCAUGGGGGGCGAAAGACUAAUCGAACCUUCUAGUAGCUGGUUUCCGCCGA
rnacentral:rRNA from 1 species